CAGGGGUCUCGAGCGUUAAUCGGAAUUACUGGGCUUAAAGGGUGCGUAGGUGGGUCCGCAAGUGCCUUGUGAAAUCCCCCGGCUCAACCGGGGAACUGCGGGGCAUACUGCGGGUCUUGAGGAAGGUAGGCGCCGAGGGAACAGUAGGUGGAGCGGUGAAAUGCGUAGAUAUCUACUGGAACGCCGAUGGUGAAGACGCUCGGGGGCUGGGCCUUUCCUGACACUGAGGCACGAAAGCGUGGGGAGCAAACAGGAUUAGAUACCCUGGUAGUCCACGCCGUAAACGAUGCGCGCUAGAUCGGUGUGGGUUUGACCCCGGAUCGGUCGAAGUAAAAACGAUAAGCGCGCCGCCUGGGGAGUACGGUCGCAAGGCUA
rnacentral:rRNA from 1 species